rnacentral:rRNA from 1 species
AGAAUUUGAUCUUGGUUCAGGAUGAACGCUGGCGGCGUGCCUAAUACAUGCAAGUCGAGCGAACAGAUAAGGAGCUUGCUCCUUGACGUUAGCGGCGGACGGGUGAGUAACACGUGGGUAACCUACCUAUAAGACUGGGAUAACUUCGGGAAACCGGAGCUAAUACCGGAUAACAUUUGGAACCGCAUGGUUCUAAAGUGAAAGAUGGUUUUGCUAUCACUUAUAGAUGGACCCGCGCCGUAUUAGCUAGUUGGUAAGGUAACGGCUUACCAAGGCGACGAUACGUAGCCGACCUGAGAGGGUGAUCGGCCACACUGGAACUGAGACACGGUCCAGACUCCUACGGGAGGCAGCAGUAGGGAAUCUUCCGCAAUGGGCGAAAGCCUGACGGAGCAACGCCGCGUGAGUGAUGAAGGGUUUCGGCUCGUAAAACUCUGUUAUUAGGGAAGAACAAAUGUGUAAGUAACUGUGCACGUCUUGACGGUACCUAAUCAGAAAGCCACGGCUAACUACGUGCCAGCAGCCGC